UAUUGAUACAUUUUUUACCCAUAUUUUUUGGUCUUCAUUUUUGGGAUCAUUAUUAUCCACCUGCACAGUAGGUGGUGAAAUACAAUUGUUGUGAACACCAUUAUAUCAUAGAAGAAGAAGAAAGUAGUCCCUCCCAUCAAAGGAGUCAUCUCAGGGGUGAUGACUGAUGUUCAGGUUGAAUACCUGAAGAGAAUUCCUGGUGUGGUUGGUGCCGUCGUCUGACCCGUUAGGUAAUUGGGGAAAAAGAAGAGUCUGUAGGUCCUUUUGUUUUUUGACAAAUAGCAAAUACCUACGCAUGUGAAGCUUGGAUAUAAAAGGUAUACUGUAAGAGCUUUCGUCCCCAAAACACUGCAGUGUAAGAAUUUAAAGGAUUUGGCCAUGUUUCAAGUGUGCACAGAUGGACAGAGUAUAUUUGAACGGUGUGUAGAAGGAUGACGGUGUUGCAAUUGUGGUGGGAAUCAGGAUCCCGAGAUCCUGGAGUGCACUGUAAGGGUGAAGGAGACCGAGGUGGCAAAAGUUAGAGCAGUCAAUCGAAUCUCCUAUGCGGACCAGAUUAAAAUAAUUGAGAAAACAAGUGAUGCUAGUGAAAAAGUGGAUUUUGUGGCGUUCAUUGCCACAGUUAUAAACUGUACGGCACAAGUCUCAAAGAAGUCUAAGAAACUGGACAUUUUUGUGGCUGCAGCAAAAACGUUUUUGCGCAGGAAGACCCGCCCUCCCAGGUUCCCCUUGAGCCUGUGUAGUGAUCAGAUGUGUUUUAUUUAUUUUUAACUGAAAAGUUGUUUGAUUUAGUUUAGUUUAUUUAUUUAUUUAUUGGUCAUUUUGUAGUUUUUUUGCAGGGUAUUUAGUUCCAUUUUUGGUAAUCCUGUUUCCAUCCCGCAUAGUAGUUGGCGGGAUACACAUUACAUUGUGCGAUCGCCAAUAUACCAUAGACGAAGUAGAACAGGCGUUGUGCUGAAAAUCUCACCCCUGCUAGAAUUCUCCUUCCCUUCGCGUUCUUCAUUGCUGCGACUUGCUUGCCAGUUGAAAUUUCUGCUCUUCACUCAGUUUUCGGUUUGGGUAUUUGUUUCAAGUGUAUGUGGCGGUUCUAGCUUGUAUAGCGCUAAAUCCGCUACUGUUUUGUAUUAGUCUAUAAAUAAAUCUAUUUGCCAAAAUGUGUCAUCUCUCCCAUGUCUUAUUCGACUAGUAUAUUUGAAAGUGUAAUGAUAAUAAUUCAGCCAUAGUUGUUCUGAAAUGUGUAUUGCUUGCCAACGAUUUACUCCCUCUGUUUAAUAUAACACACAUACAUGUUGUUCUAUAGAAAGUAUUUGACUAGCCACAAAAUUAAGGAAAUUACAAGGUGGGGAGAAUUCUGGCAAGGGGGAGAUUUUCAGUCACAACACCGGUCGGUGGAACGAAGAUGGCCGCUGAAAGCGAGUGAGUUUGUUGAUGAGAGCGUGUAGGUAGAGAAAAUGUGUCAACUAUUUAUAUAAUACGUUAAUUCAUAUUCAAUACCAUUUACUUAAAUGUAUAUUCAAAUGAUAUGUACGUUGUAGAUUGUGGUUAGCUAGCAAUGGGUCGCUAGCUUGCUAGUUUACUAACGUUAGCUACACCCAAGUUAACCAACAACACGGCUGAGUGCAGGGGAUGAUGCAGCCAGGCAUCAUCUUGCAAGCAAACUGUUUUUCAACAUUGUAAUUUACUAAAGAUAUGACAUACAGUGGUAGUUAGCUGACAUACAUUUAGGAAAAUACAUUAAGCUUUUAUCUGAUUGAACCAGAAUCUGUCUUUAAAGGAGACGUUGAACGUGGCAGGAGAAUUUUCAUGUUCAACGUCUCCUGUAAAACCAGAUUAUGGUUCAGUGCUUGGUCGUUCCAUGUCAUUUCAGCAAGUCAUGACACCAACCAUCUCAGAUUGUUCUGAAAUAAUUUCCGUAGUUAGAAACCUAUAACAUUAGCAUUCUUGACACAUUAUUUUGAUUAAAUGUAAUUUGAUCUCUGAUAAAUUAAUAAGCUAACUGAUUACACCCAAAUUGGCCAUGUAAAUGUAUAGAAUUCAUAAUACCCAAUAAAUGUAGUACCUAAUGUAACAGUAUAACUUUAGUCGGUCCCCUCGCCGGGCUCGAACCAGGGACCCUAUGCACACAUCAACAACUGACACCCACGAAGAAGCGUUACCCAUCGUUCCACAAAAGCAGCAGCUCUCGCAGUGCAAUGGGAACCACUACUUCAAGGGCUCAAAGCAUGAAGAAUACAAGGAAAUGGUCAAAUGCCAGCCAUGGACCCCUCAGCACCAAACCCACCACAACAAGGAGUGUGACAAGUAGUAUGGAGCUGCCCACCCAAUUUUACCUACCUCAUCCCCAUACUGUUUAUAUUUAUUUACUUUUCUGCUCUUUUGCACACCAAUAUCUCUA